AGAUGCCGCUCCAGACGUCUCUGCGUCGGGACUGGAGACGGAUGAUGAAUGGAAGAGAGUUGAUGACUUUGUUGGCUGAUGAAUGAUCGAGGAAAUACUGGCUCGACACACUGCUCAGUCGUUACCUGCUUGAUUGUCAGCCUCUCUUACGGACGCCAACAAUUUAUAGAAGGAGAGAUGAGGAUGAUGCAAACAGAUAUGCAACAAUGAACUCACUCCGUGGGAGGGAGCCAGGUUGAGUACCCGAAGCCCUUCGAUGUUGGUCUUGGUAGGAUUCGCUGGAAGUUGGAC